AACUUCCGCUUCCGGUUCCUAGCGUUAACUGCGACCGGGGUUCAGCGCUCGGGUGAGGAGCUGGUGGCGUCGGCAGGUUCGAGGCGAUUCGAGAUGAAAUCCACGAUGGGAUGAACCUGGAGCUUUAUUAUCAAUAGAUGAGAAUCCUCAUCUUCCUGCCCCGCUUUCCUCUCCCAUCCUCAUCCCCCACACUGGGAUAGAUGCUUGUUUGUAAAAACUCACCUUAAUAAAGACUUAGAUGUUGCUUUGU
rnacentral:lncRNA from 1 species